UUUCCAGAAUUUCUUGCAAAUAUGCCCCUAUCUUUCAGGAGUUUCUGCAACAUUCAAGUUUACCAGUUUGGAACAGAUUUAAGAAUAUUGGAUUCUGGCGUCAACUGACGGUUCGAGAAGGGAGGAGACUAGGCAUGGCCUCUGAUGCUGAAAAUUGUGAGGCCAAUAUUGCAGAGGUCAUGCUUAUUGUUCAGUGCUGGUGCAGAGCUACAAGACAAGACAAGUUUCCUUCAAUGGAUGGGUGUAGUGCAAGCAAGGCUGACGGCGGAAGAAGAAGCACAAAAGAUGGCUGGUGUGGGAGGAAGGUGUACUGUGUCUGUUCUCCCUGCUUCAGCGGAAAGAAGCAGCUCCAUCUCCACACAACACAACAAGAUCAUGGCGACUUCCGUGGUUUCCCUGAAACAGUGUCCAACAAUAUCAACAAAAGCGAUAUCAUCGUAGCGUAGAAGUGUUUGAAAAAUUCUGAAACGCAUAUUACUGCAAUGAUUUGGUGCAACGAUUCUGAAGAAUGUUUUUAAAA